ACCGGGGGUGGGGCUGGGGCUGGGGCUGUCGGCCGGCUGGCGGCGGAGGCGUGGGGCCUGCUCCUGCUGGCACCAUGGCCAAGACCGUGGCCUAUUUCUACGACCCCGACGUGGGCAACUUCCACUACGGAGCUGGGCACCCUAUGAAACCCCAUCGCCUGGCGUUGACCCAUAGCCUUGUUCUGCACUAUGGUCUCUAUAAGAAGAUGAUCGUCUUCAAGCCAUACCAGGCCUCCCAGCAUGACAUGUGCCGCUUCCACUCCGAGGACUACAUUGACUUCCUGCAGAGAGUCAGUCCUACCAAUAUGCAAGGCUUCACCAAGAGCCUUAAUGCCUUCAACGUGGGCGAUGACUGCCCUGUGUUUCCUGGACUCUUUGAGUUCUGCUCCCGUUACACAGGUGCAUCUCUGCAAGGAGCAACGCAGCUAAACAACAAGAUCUGUGAUAUUGCCAUUAACUGGGCUGGUGGCCUGCACCAUGCCAAGAAGUUUGAGGCCUCUGGCUUCUGUUAUGUCAAUGACAUUGUGAUUGGUAUCCUGGAGCUGCUGAAGUACCAUCCUCGGGUGCUCUACAUUGAUAUUGACAUCCACCAUGGUGAUGGGGUUCAGGAAGCCUUCUACCUCACUGACCGGGUCAUGACUGUGUCCUUCCACAAAUACGGAAAUUACUUCUUUCCUGGCACAGGUGACAUGUACGAAGUUGGAGCAGAGAGUGGCCGAUACUACUGUCUCAAUGUCCCCUUACGGGACGGCAUUGAUGAUCAGAGUUACAAGCAUCUUUUCCAACCAGUCAUCAACCAGGUGGUGGACUUCUACCAACCCACAUGCAUUGUGCUCCAGGUAAUCCUGUCAGUAUCUCCUCAGGAGGGCUUGCCGGGGCUGAGGAAGACAGCAGGGAAGAGAAGCUUCCUUAGUGCGGAGCUGACUCUCUGGGCUGUGAUCGAUUGGGCUGUUUCAACCUCAGCAUCCGAGGACAUGGGGAAUGCGUUGAAUAUGUCAAGAGCUUUAAUAUCCCUCUGCUGGUGCUUGGUGGUGGUGGCUAUACUGUUCGAAAUGUUGCCCGCUGCUGGACUUACGAGACAUCCUUGCUGGUGGAAGAGGCCAUUAGUGAGGAGCUUCCCUAUAGUGAAUACUUCGAGUACUUUGCCCCGGACUUCACGCUCCAUCCAGAUGUCAGCACCCGCAUCGAGAAUCAGAAUUCACGCCAGUAUCUGGACCAGAUCCGCCAGACAAUCUUUGAAAACUUGAAGAUGUUGAACCAUGCACCUAGCGUCCAGAUUCAUGAUGUGCCUGCAGACCUCCUGACGUAUGACAGGACGGAUGAGGCUGAUGCAGAGGAAAGGGGUCCUGAGGAGAACUACAGCAGGCCAGAGGCACCCAAUGAAUUCUACGAUGGAGACCAUGACAAUGACAAAGAGAGCGAUGUGGAGAUUUAAGAGCAGCUUGGGAUGUUGUGUCCCAAGGGUUUCCUUUUCACCUAUUGGUUGGGUGGAAAAGAAGAGGUGUGGCUCUCUCAGUCCUAGGCUGGCCACUCUCCAGGACUUUUCCUAACUCUGGGGAGGGAUUUGGAGAUCACAUGUGGUUCUAGAACUGUCUACCCCUUUUCCUUCCUCUCCCCCAUUGCCUAAUGACUGCCUAUUAGGAGUGAGAUGGGGAGGAUAGUUUGUGGGCAGUGGGCCCUAGAGGCCAGUCCCCAGUCCUUUUGGCCCCAUUUCUUCCCUGCUUCCUUCUAACCCAGAGACUUAGAGGUGAAGGGGUAGACAGAACUCAGGUUGACUCUGAUGUCCUCCUCUCCAGGGUUCUAUGCAGGUCUUAGUUCUAGGGCUGGUGAAGAGUGAGGGUUUGGGGAGCUUUAGCUCCCUAACACCUUAACCCUAGCUGAUGGGAGGUGCAGUUUUGAGUAGGAGAAGGAUGUGAAAAUGUCCUGUUCUAAGUUUUGGCUUUAUGUCCAUUUUACCACUGUUUUUAUCCAAUAAACCAAGUUGGUAUUUUUUGUA